rnacentral:rRNA from 1 species
AGAGUUUGAUUAUGGCUCAGAACGAACGCUGGCGGCGUGGCUAACCCAUGCAAGUCGAGCGCGAGCGCACCCUUCGGGGUGCUAUUAGCGCGGCGGAAGGGUGAGUAAUGCACGGGUAACGUACCCCGGGCAGGAGGAUAACCCGUCGAAAGGCGGAGCAAUACUCCAUAAGACCACGCGGAGAUAUCUCCGCGCGGUAAAAGGUGGUUCCCCUUCGGGGGAGUUUCCGGCUCGGGAUCGGCCCCUGUCCCAUCAGCUUGUUGGUAGGGUAACGGCCUACCAAUGCAACGACGGGUAGCCGGACUGAGAGGUCGAUCGGCCACAUUGGGACUGAGACACUGCCCAGACUCCUACGGGAGGCUGCAGGGACGAAUAUUCCGCAAUGGGCGAAAGCCUGACGGAGCGACGCCGCGUGUGGGAAGAAGCCUUUCGGGGUGUAAACCACUGUCUGGGGCUACCAAGCGAACCGGUUAACGCCGGCGAGUUGAGGCGCCCCGAAGGAAGCCACGGCUAACUCCGUGCCAGCAGCCGCGGUAAUACGGAGGUGGCGAGCGUUGUUCGGAAUACUGGGCUUAAAGAGUACGUAGGCGGACGAUUAAGCGUCUUGUGAAAUCCCUCGGCUCAACCGAGGAAUGGCUUGGCGAACUGGUCGUCUUGAGGCAGGUAGGGGCGUGUGGAACUCUUGGUGGAGCGGUGAAAUGCGUAGAUAUCAAGAGGAACGCCGGAGGCGAAAGCGACACGCUGGGCCUGUCCUGACGCUGAGGUACGAAAGCUAGGGUAGCGAACGGGAUUAGAUACCCCGGUAGUCCUAGCCGUAAACGACGUCCACUAGGUUGGGGAUCUUUUGACGGAGUCCCGGCCGAAGUAAAAACGCUAAGUGGACCGCCUGGGGAGUACGGUCGCAAGGCUAAAACUCAAAGGAAUUGACGGGGGCUCACACAAGCGGUGGAGCAUGUUGCUCAAUUCGAUGCAACGCGAAGAACCUUAUCCUGGGCUUGAAGCGCACGGAUGCGGCUUCCGAAAGGGAUGUCCGCUGCCCUUCGGGGUGAAACGUGUACAGGUGCUGCAUGGCUGUCGUCAGCUCGUGUCGUGAGAUGUUGGGUUAAGUCCCGUAACGAGCGAAACCCUUGUCGUUAGUUGCCAGCGGGCCUUCGGGUGCCGGGGACUCUAGCGAGACUGCCGGUGUCAAACCGGAGGAAGGUGGGGAUGACGUCAAGUCCUCAUGGCCUUUAUGCCCAGGGCUGCAAACGUGCUACAAUGGCUGGGACAAACCGACGCGAGACCGCGAGGUGGAGCAAAUCGGAAAAACCCAGCCCCAGUUCGGAUUGGAGUCUGCAACUCGACUCCAUGAAGUCGGAAUCGCUAGUAAUCGCAGAUCAGCUAUGCUGCGGUGAAUAUGUUCCUGAGCCUUGUACACACCGCCCGUCAAGUCAUGGAAGCUGGUAGCGCCUGAAGUCGCUCCGCUACAGGGGUGCCGAAGGUGAGAUCGGUGACUGGGACUAAGUCGUAACAAGGUAACC